UGAUGUCUCACCUGCACAGGCUGAGGAGGAGGGUCUGGCUAGUCCGCUCAGCAUUCAGAGAUGGGAGAAGAAGGUGCUCUGGUUUAUU